UCGGGAAUUUUGGGCAAUGGGGGAAACCCUGACCCAGCAACGCCGCGUGAAGGAUGAAGUAUUUCGGUAUGUAAACUUCGAAAGAAUAGGAAGAAUAAAUGACGGUACUAUUUAUAAGGUCCGGCUAACUACGUGCCAGCAGCCGCGGUAAUACGUAGGGACCAAGCGUUGUUCGGAUUUACUGGGCGUAAAGGGCGCGUAGGCGGCAUGACAAGUCACUUGUGAAAUCUCUGGGCUUAACCCAGAACGGCCAAGUGAUACUGUCGCGCUAGAGUGCAGAAGGGGCAAUCGGAAUUCUUGGUGUAGCGGUGAAAUGCGUAGAUAUCAAGAGGAACACCUGAGGUGAAGACGGGUUGCUGGGCUGACACUGACGCUGAGGUGCGAAAGCGUGGGGAGCAAACAGGAUUAGAUACCCAAGUAGUCCCUGAGCGGGCUGGCAAGGCGCAU
rnacentral:rRNA from 1 species